CUGGGCAAGCACAAGUGCCCUUCGGGCGGAGCAGCCCCCUGCCCAGGGGAGGGCAGCAGGCGGGGGCGGGGAAAGGAGCCCCGGAGAGUCAGGCCAAGCUGCCACUAAUCCGGGCAGGGAGAGGGGGGGCACCCACACGUCAGAGCGGGGACUGCCGGGUGGAGGGCAUCUGAGGACAUCCCCUCCCACACACGCGGCCGUCUGGGCACCUAGCCCUACUUCCCCAGCCCCUCCAUCCUUCAGACAGCUGAGGCUGGCCUCCCCCCACCCCACCCCCACCCUUGUGGCAACGCCUGGGGCGGGGGCAUGGGGGAGGGGGAAUACCGGGGAGAAUCUCCCAGGACCUGGGGAGAAGGGCAGAGGCAGGGAAGUGUGGAGAUGCUUCUGGAGCCAGGAGGAAGCUCCGUGGCAGAUGCCCCCUCCCCUCUCACCCACCCACCCACAUCUCUGACCUAGUUCCUCUUCUCAGUCUGCACCUCACCAAUGCCCCUUCUCCUUUCACCCAACCUUCCCUCCCCUGCAAUCCAGCCACCCUGGUAGAGAAAGCUACCUCAUUCCACCCCGGGCUCAGGACCUUCUGCCUAGUAACCCAGCUCUGGCCCCCGGGAAUUCCUAAGCAGCGGGCCUCAUCCUCCUGCCGGGGCUUCUACGCCUACCCAGCUAUAGGGCAUCCCAGUCCCUGAUGCUGGGCGGGGGACAAGGGGGCGAGAGCCGGAGUGCUCACCUCCUCAACCCCGUAAAGGGUGGGGCAGUGCCAGUCACGACACCCCAACUCAGCCUGGGCCAGGGCUGUGUUGAAACAAGAGGCUAACCACGCUGCUGCCGCCCAGAGCGGCAGCGAAAAAUGCAGCAGUGGGGCUAGUGCACCUGGAGGCCAGAGUAGGGAAGGGGGACCGGGACCGGGAGGGGCCGAAGAGGUAGGGAAAGAGAGGAGCCACCAGAAAGGUCCAAGGGACAGCUGGGCUGUGGGGAGGAGGGAGAAGGGAGGGCUGGGAAUGAGGGGCCACCUGCUCCUGGGAACUCGGAGGCAGUGGGGGCAUCCCUCAGAAGCAGGCAAGAUGGAUGGGGAGGACAGAGCGAGCGCAAAUCAGGCAGGGCUGGUACCUGGGCCAAGCAAAGGUGCGUGCUUCCAAGGGGACUAGCCUAGGCUUUUCAUCUCCCUACCAGUGCCCGGCGUGAUUCUGCCUGGGAAGACAGUGGGCACACCGGGGUGUGGAUUCUGCCAUUCCACCCCCACCAAGGCGACUUCUGGACAGACUUGCAUCAGGAGAUGGGGCGCUGACCCACAGACAGCACAAUCAUGGACAAGUUGCUUCACCUCUCCACGUCUCAGUUCUUCCAUCUGUAAAAUGGCUAUAACCCCGACCUGACAGGCUUGACAGGAGGAUUUAAGGAAAUCAUCUAUUUAAAAUGCCCAACAUGAGGUCAGACAAACAAUCAAUGUUUCUUUAUAAAUUUAUUUAUUUUUGCCUGC